AUUGAACGCUGGCGGAAUGCUUUACACAUGCAAGUCGAGCGGCAGCGCGGCCUUCGGGCUGGCGGCGAGCGGCGAACGGGUGAGUAAUGCAUCGGAACAUGCCCAGUCGUGGGGGAUAACACUUCGAAAGAAGUGCUAAUACCGCAUACGUCCUGAGGGGGAAAGCGGGGGAUCGCAAGACCUCGCGCGAUUGGAGUGGCCGAUGUCAGAUUAGCUAGUUGGUGGGGUAAAGGCCUACCAAGGCGACGAUCUGUAGCUGGUCUGAGAGGAUGAUCAGCCACCCUGGGACUGAGACACGGCCCAGACUCCUACGGGAGGCAGCAGUGGGGAAUUUUGGACAAUGGGGGCAACCCUGAUCCAGCCAUUCCGCGUGAGUGAAGAAGGCCUUCGGGUUGUAAAGCUCUUUCGGCAGGAACGAAACGGUGGGCUCUAACAUAGUCCGCUAAUGACGGUACCUGAAGAAGAAGCACCGGCUAACUACGUG
rnacentral:rRNA from 1 species